rnacentral:rRNA from 1 species
AGGGAAUCUUCCACAAUGGACGCAAGUCUGAUGGAGCAACGGCCGCGUGAGUGAAGAAGGUUUUCGGACCGUAAAGCUCUGUUGUUGGUGAAGAAGGAUAGAGGUAGUAACUGGCCUUUAUUUGACGGUAAUCAACCAGAAAGUCACGGCUAACUACGUGCCAGCAGCCGCGGUAAUACGUAGGUGGCAAGCGUUGUCCGGAUUUAUUGGGCGUAAAGCGAGCGCAGGCGGAAGAAUAAGUCUGAUGUGAAAGCCCUCGGCUUAACCGAGGAAUUGCAUCGGAAACUGUUUUUCUUGAGUGCAGAAGAGGAGAGUAGAACUCCAUGUGUAGCGGUGGAAUGCGUAGAUAUAUGGAAGAAUACCAGUGGCGAAGGCGGCUCUCUGGUCUGCAACUGACGCUGAGGCUCGAAAGCAUGGGUAGCGAACAGGAUUAGAUACCCUGGUAGUCCAUGCCGUAAACGAUGAGUGCUAAGUGUUGGGAGGCUUCCGCCUCUCAGUGCUGCAGCUAA